rnacentral:pre_miRNA from 1 species
AGCUUUCGGAAUCCGUGCACAGAUUUCGUUAGAAAGCAACCUAUUGGGACUGAUGAGACUUCCAAGUUAAGUGAAGUU